UCCGGAGGGUGCGAGCGUUGUCCGGAAUCAUUGGGCGUAAAGGGCGUGUAGGCGGAUCGGUAAGUCUACUCUGAAAGCUCCUGGCUAAACUGGGAGAGGCGAGUGGAGACUGUCGGUCUAGAGUGAGGAAGAGGAAAGUGGAAUUCCGCGUGUAGUGGUGAAAUGCGUAGAGAUGCGGAGGAACACCAGUGGCGAAAGCGGCUUUCUGGUCCUUAACUGACGCUGAGGCGCGAAAGCAUGGGGAGCGAACGGG
rnacentral:rRNA from 1 species